rnacentral:rRNA from 1 species
UACGGAGGUAGCUAGCGUUGUUCGGAAUUACUGGGCGUAAAGCGCACGUAGGUGGCUACUCAAGUCAGAGGUGAAAGCCCGGGGCUCAACCCCGGAACUGCCUUUGAAACUAGGUGGCUAGAAUCUUGGAGAGGUCAGUGGAAUUCCGAGUGUAGAGGUGAAAUUCGUAGAUAUUCGGAAGAACACAAGUGGCGAAGGCGACUGACUGGACAAGUAUUGACGCUGAGGUGCGAAAGCGUGGGGAGCAAACAGG